rnacentral:rRNA from 1 species
AUGGACGUCUCAGGCACCGGAGCUGGCGCCAAGGGCAAGAAGGGCGCGGCCGGGCGCAAGGCCGGCGGCCCCAGGAAGAAGUCGGUGACGCGCUCCGUCAAGGCCGGGCUCCAGUUCCCCGUCGGCCGCAUCGGGCGCUACCUCAAGAAGGGCCGCUACGCCCAGCGCGUCGGCACCGGCGCCCCCGUCUACCUCGCCGCCGUCCUCGAGUACCUCGCCGCCGAGCUGCUGGAGCUCGCCGGAAACGCCGCCAAGGACAACAAGAAGAGCCGCAUCAUCCCGCGCCACCUGCUGCUCGCUGUCAGGAACGACGAGGAGCUCGGAAAGCUGCUGGCCGGCGUCACCAUCGCGCACGGUGGCGUGAUCCCCAAGAUCAACCCGGUGCUCCUCCCCAAGAGGACCGCGGAGAAGGAGGGCAAGGAGCCCAAGUCUCCUAAGAAGACGACCAAGUCCCCCAAGAAGACCACCAAGGCUUAG